ensembl:snRNA U6 U6 spliceosomal RNA
GUGCUUGCUUUGGCAGCAUAUAUAUUAAAAUUAGAACCAUAGAGAGAAGAUUAGCACAGCCCCUGAGCAAGGAUGACAGGCAAAUUCAUAAAGUGUUCCAUAUUUUA